CUGCAGCCCGGCUUGAGUGGAAAUCCUUUUUUGUGGCUGGAAAAGCCAGGCAAAAAGAUUGGGAACGGAAGACGGAUAAAGC
rnacentral:sRNA from 1 species